rnacentral:rRNA from 1 species
AUUGAACGCUGGCGGCAUGCCUUACACAUGCAAGUCGAACGGCAGCGCGGGGCAACCUGGCGGCGAGUGGCGAACGGGUGAGUAAUAUAUCGGAACAUACCCUAGAGUGGGGGAUAACGUAGCGAAAGUUACGCUAAUACCGCAUACGCACUAAGGUGGAAAGUGGGGGAUCUUCGGACCUCAUGCUCAUGGAGUGGCCGAUAUCUGAUUAGCUAGUUGGUGAGGUAAAGGCUCACCAAGGCGACGAUCAGUAGCUGGUUUGAGAGAACGACCAGCCACACUGGAACUGAGACACGGUCCAGACUCCUACGGGAGGCAGCAGUGGGGAAUUUUGGACAAUGGGGGGCAACCCUGAUCCAGCAAUGCCGCGUGAGUGAAGAAGGCCUCGGGUUGUAAAGACGUCUUUGUCUAGGGAAGAAACGGUAGA